rnacentral:rRNA from 1 species
UACGUAGGGGGCUAGCGUUGUCCGGAAGCAUUGGGCGGCAAGGGCGCGUAGGCGGCCACCGCAAGUCGGUUGUGAAAUCUCCGGGCUUAACCCGGAAAGGUCAAUCGAUACUGCGGGGCUAGAGUGCAGAAGGGGCAACUGGAAUUCUCGGUGUAGCGGUGAAAUGCGUAGAUAUCGAGAGGAACACCUGCGGCGAAGGCGGGUUGCUGGGCUGACACUGAGGGACGAAAGCUAGGGGAGCGAAUGGG